GGCUGCUGUCAUGAAUCUUCCUUCUAGCAGGGAAGACAGGUAAUACUGCACACAAAUAAACUCAGCAAAGCCAGCCUCUGGAGUAAGGGCCGGGGAGAAAGGAGAGCAAUUCCAGCUGGAGACCAGACAGAAAGGAGAGCAAUUCCAGCUGGAGACCAGCUGAGGAGGUAUCCUUUGAACUGAUGACGGAAUGAUCACAAAAAGCCAGCCAUGUAUGAAUCAGAGAAAGGACAUUCCAGGUCCUGAGGCCAGGACCAGUGUGGCCUGUUGGAGGAUUCAUGGAUGCCAUUAUGGCUGGAACUUAGUGGGUGAGAAAGAGAGGGACUGCAAUUCAUCUGGGCCAUGGGGCUUCCAAGGAGGCAAAAGUGACCAGAAAAACUGCUUGUCCUCUGAGCUUAUGGGGAAGACAGAGGCACCUGGCAUGCUCACAACAGAUUUCACUGCAUGCAACCAAAGAAAGGAGA
rnacentral:lncRNA from 1 species